GCACAGCUUCCUCUCUUUUCCAUCUCCUUGUCUCCAUAUCAAAUUUUCUCUGUUUCACCUGCACCCGCCGAAGGUGCCGGCAACCUCACCGUGAUAUCAUGGUCUCCGCUACCGCCUCUUGGUGUUGGCGGACAGGUCUGGGCUAGCCCUAUGCCGGAGAGACCUGCGAUCAUGAGCAUAUGUGGACCAGCCCCCUACCGAAUCUCGUCUGUGAUUCAACACGUGCACGUGCGCUGCGGGCCCGUCGCGUGCACGUCUCGUGUCCGUCUGUCUGUGGUCGCUUUGGGGAGAGUGGAACACAUCAACGACGCCGGGGAGGUGGCAGUGUCGGUAGUUUCAGGGAAGCCGAUGCCAGCUGCACGGAUGACAGACUCGAUCACCGGCCUCAGACGCCAGAGGCCGAUAUACCCCCCCCCCCAAACACCGCGGUGCGCGAUGCGGCACGCGACGACAAACGCGACUUGGCUGCAGCCGUCCCACGCCAGGGGAGCAAGGGUGCCGAGCUCACGAGACGACAGGCGGCCAUCCUCGCCCAGUGCCACACGGACAUCUGGCCGUACUUUGGAUUCCCGCAGCGGUUGGCGAGUGGCAGCAACACGAUGGUGUGCAGACGGUGUGCUGCCCACUGCUCCGCUAACGUUGUGGUACCCCUCCCCCUGCCCGUGUUUAUGCUAUGAGGGCUUCCGGCCCGGCGCUGUGCCCGAUAUGCCACGCGAGACUCGCGAAUCGCACGACGCUUGACGCACACCUCGGUCGCGCUGGAUGGGCUUCCCCUGUCAGGUGUGUGUGGCUGCCUCCUCAGGAGGACAGGCGAUGAGCUCCUUGUGCGGAUGCGCAUGCGUAUGCACGGGCCCCUUCCCCUUGACACACCCGCUCCUGUCAGAGGCAUGCGGGCUCAGGAGAGGGCGGUGUGCUCCAUGCCUCCACGGACUCAUGGCAGCGUCCCCACCUGUCGCGGCACACGCGGGCAAGCCAUCCAGACACGCCCUCCCUCCGUGACACGGUCAGACAUGGAAGAUGGAGGUCGGCGAACCCACCAGUGGCCAAGGUCCUCCUGGAACAGGCCCCACGAUGCGAGAAUGCGAGCACUGUGCGCACGCGCUGCCGGCCGCAGCCGGCACGGCGCAUGAGAUCCAAGCAAGGCGUCGGGAGGCCAGCGGGGCACGAGUGAUGGACGGAAGAGGUGCGACGAGAUCCAUACGAGUGAGCCCCCGCAGUGCAUGUGUGCCGAAACAUGCGCGCCACCCCCUCCAUCCGACCGUGUGGGCUGAUGCGGCACAGAUGCCGGAAGUCUGACGUGAGCAUCCCGGGUUCCACCGUGGAGAGCUAUCCAUGCUGCAAGGCGGAGAGUGACUGUACGAUAUUGUGGAAUGCCGGGGCUUGAAGCGACUGAGGGCGAAGCACGGCACACAGGCAGGGUGCCGGGUCGGAGAGGGCCCGGACCUGCGGCUGGCCGGCCUCCUCGCUGAGCUCAUCCGGCAUGCACGUGAGCCAGCCACUGCUACCCGCACGAUGGGCGCCCCACUGCUUCCGCCCUCGCGCAGGACCCUGGGUGCGGCCCGCUCGGAUCAGGGCAUGUGGUUCAUGUAGGUGUGUGAUGCGCCGAUGGUGCAGCGCGUAUCCGAAGAAGGGAAGGACACGAAGAGCCCGCUAGCCGCAUAGCCCGAUUCGACAGCAGACGGCCCGUCCUAGACGGCGAGGAUGUGGCCGCCGUGCAGCAGAGGUAGGUGAGCUGUAGUGGUGUAUGCGCGUAUAUCUGUUGCGGACGUGCUCGCCUGUAGAACGGACACAUUGAAGGCAGAAAAAAAAGUAUUUGACCUUCACAGCUCUUAUUUCGCUUGAGUGCUUUGGUGCUUCUUGUUCACCUCACCCAUGCGCGCAUAACCUGUUGUCCCCUUCUCCCUCCCUCUCUCCCCUCCUCUCCCCCCUCCCCCACGCAUGCCGUUAACUAACAGCAACACCCUCCACCCAGCUACCUGUCUGUUUCCCUGUCUCUCGUGUGGUUGGCGGGCGUCCUUUGUGGCUGAAAGAAGACCCCAUUGUCGGUGUGUCCCGUAUGUCUCUCCGUCCCCCCCCUCCCCUCUUCGUCCGUGUUGGUCUUUAUUGGAAUGUUCGCUCGUGCCAUCGUCUCCUCCUUCUCGUGUUUGGAAGGGAAUUCUUUGGCGAGACGCGCUGAACACAUCUUCUGCUGGAGUUGUCUUUCAUGCUUUUAGUUUUUUUUUUCGAUGUUGAGCCGUUCGCAGCCUAUGUCUUUCUCUCUCUUGACUUCCGUGUGCAUCCAUGGCGUGUGUGCGUGCGCGUGGUGGGGACCCGUUCAUGUUCUUGUGUGUAUCUAAGUAAGUCGUCCUGUGUUCUGUUCUUUGUUACCUCCCCCACUCCCUUUCUUUUUGCUUCUCGGUGUCCCUCCCACACUGUGUGCGCCCGUGUGCUCCGUCUCUUUCCGCGCGUUUCUGUGUGCGUGUGUGUGUGCGUCAUAGUUGGUCUGUUUCUGGUUUGAUCACUCCGUGUAUUUUACAGCAUACCUGCCUCUCUGUCCAUCUGCGUGUGUAUAUAUAUAAACAGGACGAGGUGUCUGUGCGUAUUCGUGUCUGCGCCAUCGGGGAUGAAGGGGUGGCGUGUGGUGUGUGGGGAGAGUGCGAGCCUUCCAGCCGUCCCCCUCCGCACCCCCCCCCCACCCCCCUCCUCUUCCUUCUCCUCGUGCAAUGUACAAGUGGAUGAGCGCAUGCGCCAACAUAAAACAUGGAAACACUAUCACAAGCGAAUUGGGAAGGUGAGAGGUAAGCGGUCUGCGCCGCCAAGGCAUGGAGAGGGGCGGGUGGUAGCGGUGGAGGGUGCAACACACCCGCACCCCUUCCCUGUCCCCCCCCCACCUCACCCACGCGCACAACCACUGGCGCGCAUGGGCGCGCAGUCUU
rnacentral:misc_RNA from 1 species